ACCAACAGGGAUUGCCCUAGUAACGGCGAGUGAAGCGGCAACAGCUCAAAUUUGAAAUCUGGCCCUCGGGUCCGAGUUGUAAUUUGUAGAGGAUGCUUUUGGUGCGGUGCCUUCCGAGUUCCCUGGAACGGGACGCCAUAGAGGGUGAGAGCCCCGUCUGGUCGGACACCAAGCCUCUGUAAAGCUCCUUCGACGAGUCGAGUAGUUUGGGAAUGCUGCUCUAAAUGGGAGGUAUAUGUCUUCUAAAGCUAAAUACCGGCCAGAGACCGAUAGCGCACAAGUAGAGUGAUCGAAAGAUGAAAAGCACUUUGAAAAGAGAGUUAAACAGUACGUGAAAUUGUUGAAAGGGAAGCGCUUAUGACCAGACUUGGGCCUGUCGGAUCAACCUGGGUUCUCCCCGGGUGCACUCCUUCAGAUUCAGGCCAGCAUCAGUUCGGCGCGGGGGACAAAGGCUUUGGGAAUGUGGCUCCCCUCGGGGAGUGUUAUAGCCCGCUGCGUAAUACCCUGCGCUGGACUGAGGACCGCGCUUCGGCAAGGAUGCUGGCGUAAUGGUCAUCAGCGACCCGUCUUGAAACACGGACCAAGGAGUCGUCUUCGUAUGCGAGUGUUCGGGUGUUAAACCCCUACGCGUAAUGAAAGUGAACGCAGGUGAGAGCUUCGGCGCAUCAUCGACCGAUCCUGAUGUUCUCGGAUGGAUUUGAGUAAGAGCAUACGGGGCCGGACCCGAAAGAAGGUGAACUAUGCCUGUGUAGGGUGAAGCCAGAGGAAACUCUGGUGGAGGCUCGCAGCGGUUCUGACGUGCAAAUCGAUCGUCAAACAUGGGCAUGGGGGCGAAAGACUAAUCGA
rnacentral:rRNA from 1 species